GGAGCUCUAACUUCUCCACCCGCCCCAUCAAUGUGGAUCCGAAUGGGAAGCUGUGACCAGAUUCCUCAUCACUGCUCACCUCCUGCAUGCACUACCUCCAACUCACUGUCUGCAAAAGUUGCUUGUCUCCACCAUUGCAAAUCCUGCACUGUUCCCAUUUUAAAUUGACUAUGGGUAGUUCCCACAUUGCUAUGUACCACCAACAAAUCCACUAAAACUGGAACAUCUUGCCCCAAAACUACAUCAUAAGGCAAACUAUCAACCACACCUGCCUGUGUCAGAGUAGCUGAGGGUUGACGACAUACCCAGACCAGAUCCGGAAGCUGACAGAUACAUACUCAGACUCACACGCUGACAUCUUCGGUAUGGUCACCAUGCCAAAGCGGACCUACCCCUUUCAUUUUCGGGCAGCCAAGAACAUCUCCGUCAAGUGUGCAGUUUCCUUGGCUGUCUUUGGAUUAUGCUCUUGACCCAAACAUGUAUU